rnacentral:rRNA from 1 species
GACGAACGCUGGCGGCGUGCUUAACACAUGCAAGUCGAACGGAAAGGCCCUGCUUUUGUGGGGUGCUCGAGUGGCGAACGGGUGAGUAACACGUGAGUAACCUGCCCUUGACUUUGGGAUAACUUCAGGAAACUGGGGCUAAUACCGGAUAGGAGCUCCUGCUGCAUGGUGGGGGUUGGAAAGUUUCGGCGGUUGGGGAUGGACUCGCGGCUUAUCAGCUUGUUGGUGGGGUAGUGGCUUACCAAGGCUUUGACGGGUAGCCGGCCUGAGAGGGUGACCGGUUAAAUUGGGACUGAGAUACGGCCCAGACUCCUACGGGAGGCAGAAGUGGGGAAUAUUGCACAAUGGGCGGAAGCCUGAUGCAGCAACGCCGCGUGCGGGAUGACGGCCUUCGGGUUGUAAACCGCUUUCGCCUGUGACGAAGCGUGAGUGACGGUAAUGGGUAAAGAAGCACCGGCUAACUACGUG